CACCCUUAUGAGGAACAUUCUCCCACGCACUUAUUUCGUAAAUGCAGGCAAAGGCAACAAGGCUGUUACCUGGGGAGGAUCUGUCCAGAAACCACAUUUUGCCACAAGCCUAGCAAAGGGUGGACCUGUAGUUGAUGGAUGAACCUGGAGGUUGACAGCAUUUCCGCAAGCCCAAUGCUUUAAGGAUUCCACUGUAGGGAACGGGUCUUCUGAAAGGCAGUAAAUCUGCAGAGAGGCAAACGUUCUAAGACUGCAUUCCAAUGACAGCAGCGGCAGCAGCAGCAGCAGCCACGAAGGCACCCGAAACUCCCAAAGAAAAUCCUUUUUUCUAACCAGAGGGAUGAAAAGGAAGGAGGGAAUCCUGCUCCUUUAUUUCUCUCUCUCUCUCUCUCUCUCCUCUUGCUGCUUUACUUAGAGCCACAUCCAGACACAAGAAAUGCACGACAGGCCUGGAAGGCAAACGCCUCACCUUUCUAGCCUGAGAAUCAAGAAAAGGGGUCCCAGGGAGCUGAGGAAUGUUGAAGAAGUCAUGAAGAGGAAGGAGUUUGAGAA